rnacentral:rRNA from 1 species
UACAGGGGGGGCAAGCGUUGUUCGGAAUCACUGGGCUUAAAGGGCGCGUAGGCGGGCCGGACGGUCCGCGGUGAAAUCCCCCGCUCAACGGGGGAACGGCCGCGGAUACCGCCGGCCUCGAGGGGGUAGGGGCGAGCGGAACGCUGGGUGGAGCGGUGAAAUGCGUUGAUAUCCAGCGGAACUCCGGUGGCGAAGGCGGCUCGCUGGACCCCCACUGACGCUGAGGCGCGAAAGCCAGGGGAGCGAACGGG